rnacentral:tRNA from 1 species
GGGCUUGUGGGGUAGGGGAUCAUCCUUUUGGCCUUCGGAGCCGAGGACCCGCGUUCGAAUCGCGGCAGGCCCG